UACGUGACCUGACCCUGCGUGGGGGAUACCGGUCCGAAAGGGGCCGCUAAUACCGCAUGGGGCUGCCGGGGGUGCCCGGCAGGCAAAGGUGCUGCGCAAGCGGUGCCGCGCGGGGAGGGGCGUGCGGCCGAUUAGCUUGCUGGUGGGGUAAUGGCCUACCAGGGCUGUGAUCGGUAGCUGGGCUGAGAGGCCGGACAGCCACACUGGGACUGAGACACGGCCCAG
rnacentral:rRNA from 1 species